rnacentral:RNase_P_RNA from 1 species
UGUUUGGUCGCGUGCUUUUAGCAUGAGGAAAGUCCGUGCUCCAUAGAGCAAGAUGCUGGAUAACGUCCAGUGGGGGCAACCCUAAGGAGAGUGCAACAGAGAGAUACCGCCAGAACCCUUUCUCGGCAUUUAUUUGCUUGGACUGUGGUGAAAAUAGUCAUUGAGGAUUAUCUGGUAAGGCUGGAAAGGUGAGGUAAGGGCUCACCAGUGCUUAGGUGACUAAGUAGCUAUGUAAACCCCAUCUGGAGCAAGACCAAAAAGAAACAAAAGAGGUGGUUGCUCGUCACCGUUUCAAUGGUAGGUCGCAUGAACCUAUUGGUAACAAUAGGUCUUAGAUAGAUGACCAUAUAAACAGAACACGGCUUAUAGAUUUACUCU